rnacentral:siRNA from 1 species
AAAGGGUAAAACAUGAUUUACAAU